AACAAACGCUGGCGGCGUGCCUAAUACAUGCAAGUCGAACGGGGAAAGCUUUCGGGUGAGUACUAGUGGCGCACGGGUGAGUAACGCGUGGAUAAUCUGCCUUAGAGUGGGGGAUAACUAGUCGAAAGAUUAGCUAAUACCGCAUAAGACCACAGGAACCGAGGUUCUAGAGGUCAAAGGUUUUUCGCUCUAAGAUGAGUCCGCGUAAGAUUAGCUAGUUGGUGAGGUAACGGCUCACCAAGGCAACGAUCUUUAACUGGUCUGAGAGGAUGAUCAGUCACACUGGAACUGGGACACGGUCCAGACUCCUACGGGAGGCAGCAGUAGGGAAUAUUGCACAAUGGAGGAAACUCUGAUGCAGCGACGCCGCGUGAGUGAUGAAGGCCUUCGGGUCGUAAAGCUCUGUCAGGAGGGACGAAACCUCGGUAGGUUAAUAUCUUGCCGACUUGACGGUACCUCCAAAGGAAGCACCGGCUAACUC
rnacentral:rRNA from 1 species